rnacentral:rRNA from 1 species
CCUACGGGGGGCUGCAGUGGGGAAUAUUGCACAAUGGGCGCAAGCCUGAUGCAGCCAUGCCGCGUGUGUGAAGAAGGCCUUCGGGUUGUAAAGCACUUUCAGCGGGGAGGAAGGCGUUAAGGUUAAUAACCUUGUCGAUUGACGUUACCCGCAGAAGAAGCACCGGCUAACUCCGUGCCAGCAGCCGCGGUAAUACGGAGGGUGCAAGCGUUAAUCGGAAUUACUGGGCGUAAAGCGCACGCAGGCGGUCUGUCAAGUCGGAUGUGAAAUCCCCGGGCUCAACCUGGGAACUGCAUUCGAAACUGGCAGGCUAGAGUCUUGUAGAGGGGGGUAGAAUUCCAGGUGUAGCGGUGAAAUGCGUAGAGGUCUGGAGGAAUACCGGUGGCGAAGGCGGCCCCCUGGACAAAGACUGACGCUCAGGUGCGAAAGCGUGGGGAGCAAACAGGAUUAGAUACCCGAGUAGUC